UGGGGAAUAUAUCAACGGUAGAUUAUCUGUUUUGGGAAUGGAAGGUUGUGGGUUCGAAUCCCGCUUCCCCAA